rnacentral:misc_RNA from 1 species
GCCAGAUGGUGGUAUGUGUUGCCUUCUAGAAUUGCUGAAUUUGUUGGUCAUUAUUUUCUAUUAAAAAAAGAUUAAAAAAUGUUUUUAGCUUCAUAACUUUGUUCUGUCUGAUAAUUCACCCAAAUUAUAGAAUAAUACUGAGCCAUGGUUGUCUGUGCAGCAACCAUUGAUAUGCCAGAGAGAGAUUUUUUUUUUCUUUUUACUAUUUAUUUAUUAUUUCUUUUUUUUGUUGGAAGGGAUGGGGGUGGGAGAGGGAGGAGUGAAGGAUAGAGUCUGCAUAUGGGGGACACUUCGCUUGUGUAUAGUUUGUGUUAUGAUGGAACUUUUAUUAAAUUAUUGUAUUCUCACUCGUGGGUGAUCUGUAUCUCACCAUGACUAUCACUUUUAUCCUUUGGUCAUGAUAAGAUAAUGUUCUAUGAGUGCAACUCUAAUUAGCUGCUUGAUCUUCUGUUCUUCUAUGACCUUAUAGCCACUGUCGUUUGCACUAUGUUUGGGAAUUUUUGUUGAAUAGGAAAAGAAAGGAUGAUUUUAAUCCAUAGGAUAGGAAAAUAAAAGAAAUGAGAGGUUAAAUAAUUUCUCAUGUUUGGAAGUUUCA